CAGGGUGUGGCGCAGCUGGGUAGCGCGCGUGCCUUGGGCGCACGAGGUCGUCGGUUCGAAUCCGACCACCCUGACCA
rnacentral:tRNA from 1 species